rnacentral:lncRNA from 1 species
CCAUGGCCUUUUUUCACUUACACCACCCCUCUUCCUUGUCCACUCCAGGCUGUGUUGUGUGGCCAUGUCUCCCUGAGUGACAAGCAGGCUGGUUAUGUGGAGUUGUCAGCACACAGGCCUCCCUGAAGACGGCCUUCUCCUCCAGGUGCCACGGUGUCAGGAGACACUCUCUCACAUUAGCACAAGCAGAAGAAUGAUGCACUGGACACUUGAAGUAAGAGCCCUUUGAAGCUGACGUGCUGCAGGAUAAAACACACUCUUUCUCUGGAAAAGAGAAAGCCAAGAUACUGUGGGAGCACAAGGAACAAUGAAGCCAAUGAAACGGAGGUCAGAGCUGAAGGUUUCUGCUAGAAGCAAGCUAUAUACAGGUAUUUUAAUUUUUUUCAUUCAGCCAGAAAUUCUGCUCUAGGACCCAGAGCACUG